AAAACACAGACUAACAUCACAGAUCAGUGAGGUGAGCAGCAGAUGUCUCUUCUGACCUCUUUUACACCCUUUUGACUUCUGCAAUGUUGACAUUUAUAUUUAUAUUACUGACUGUAACUGGAGGAAACAUGGCCACAGAUGUCAUCACACCAUACAGAGAUGCAGUAUUUAUCAGUGAAUCUGAGAGUGUGACACUGUCUUGUAACUACACUGGAUCUGUUGAUAGUCUUCAGUGGUAUCGACAAUAUUCAGCUUCACCACCAGAAUUCCUCAUAUUGGAUUAUUAUGGAUCAGUAACACAAGCUGAUCCUCCAGUUUCAGGAAUCUCCAUCAAACACAGAAAAGCUGACAGCAGUGUGGAUCUGAAGAUCUCAUCUGUUAAAGUCACAGACUCUGCUCUGUAUUAUUGUGCACUGAUGCCCACAGUGACAGGAAACACAACAACACUGUACAAAAACCUCACUGACUGAGCUGUAAGACAAGAAAUUGUCUCAAAUGUUGAAUGUGUCAAAUAUGAGAUCGCUGAUCUGAGCAUCUUUUCUGAAAACCGUGUGCAAUGUUUUGACCAUAAACAAUUGUGUCUAUUUAUUUGUAUUCAAAACACAGAUGUACUGUUUAUUGCUCAUACUGCAGGGUUAAUGUUACGUCAG